rnacentral:rRNA from 1 species
UACGUAGGGGGCAAGCGUUGUCCGGAAUCAUUGGGCGUAAAGAGCGUGUAGGCGGUCCGAUAAGUCCGCUCUGAAAGCCCGGGGCUCAACCCCGGGAGUCGGGCGGAUACUGUCGGGCUAGAGUCCGGAAGAGGCAAGUGGAAUUCCUGGUGUAGCGGUGAAAUGCGCAGAUAUCAGGAGGAACACCGGUGGCGAAGGCAGCUUGCUGGGACGGUACUGACGCUGAGGCGCGAAAGCGUGGGGAGCAAACAGG